AGUGAACGCUGGCGGUAGGCCUAACACAUGCAAGUCGAACGGCAGCACAGUAAGAGCUUGCUCUUCCGGGUGGCGAGUGGCGGGAGGGAGAGGAAUAUAACGGAAUCUACUCUUUCGUGGGGCGUCACGUAGGGAGAGCUAAGCUCAUACCGCAUCCGACCUACGGGUGAAGGCGGGGGAUCUUUGGGCCUUGUGGGAAUGAACUCGCCGAUGAUGUGUUAGCUGGUUGGCGGGGUAAAGGCCAACCAAGGCGACGGUCCGUAGCUGGUCCGGGAGGCUGGUCAGCCACACUGGAACGUAGACACGGUCCAGACUCCUACGGGAGGCAGCAGUGGGGAAUAUUGGACAAUGGGCGCAAGCCUUAUCCAGCCAUACCGCGUGGGUGAAGAAGGCCUUCGGGUUGUAAAGCCCUUUUGUUGGGAAAGAAAAGCAGCAGCUUAAUACCCCGCUGUUCUGACGGUACCCAAAGAAUAAGCACCGGCUAACUUCGUG
rnacentral:rRNA from 1 species